UACGUAGGUGGCGAGCGUUAUCCGGAUUUAUUGGGCGUAAAGCGAGCGCAGGCGGUUUCUUAAGUCUGAUGUGAAAGCCUACGGCUUAACCGUAGAAGUGCAUUGGAAACUGGGGAACUUGAGUGCAGAAGAGGACAGUGGAAUUCCACAUGUAGCGGUGAAAUGCGUAGAGAUGUGGAGGAACACCAGUGGCGAAGGCGGCUUUCUGGUCUGCAACUGACGCUGAGGCGCGAAAGCAUGGGGAGCAAACA
rnacentral:rRNA from 1 species